CCUGGAUGUGAGGUAUAAGGUUCCUCUCUCAGAUCCAGAAGGGCUGUUCUUAUUAAAUGUAGUUGCUCCAAUACAAUGCUACAGACUUAGCUAACGUUGCUCGUAUGCUGCAGACUUUAAGAAGUGACAGCUCACCAAACAUGUCUCACCCCUGAAGCUAUUUGAUAGAUUAAAUAACCAACUUUUCUUUGGCUGCCUGUUUGUGAUGCUGCUGUGAUUGGUGGAAUUGGUUAAUGAGUGUCCUGGCUAUGCAAAAUUUUUCACUUUUGAAGUUUUGUCACAAUUUUUUACUGAAACCAAAAAAUGUUACAUCAACU
rnacentral:lncRNA from 1 species